rnacentral:rRNA from 1 species
CCUACGGGAGGCAGCAGUGGGGAAUAUUGCACAAUGGGGGAAACCCUGAUGCAGCGACGCCGCGUGAGUGAAGAAGUAAUUCGUUACGUAAAGCUCUAUCAGCAGGGAAGAAACACUGACCUUACGGUCAGCAGACGGUACCUGAGUAAUAAGCCCCGGCUAACUACGUGCCAGCAGCCGCGGUAAUACGUAGGGGGCAAGCGUUAUCCGGAUUUACUGGGUGUAAAGGGAGCGUAGACGGUGCGCCAAGUCUGGAGUGAAAUGCCGCAGCUUAACUGCGGAACUGCUUUGGAAACUGGCGAACUAGAGUGCGGGAGGGGUAAGCGGGAUGCGUAGUGUAGCGGUGAAAUGCGUAGAUAUUAGGAGGAACACCGAUGGCGAAGGCGGCUUACUGGACCGUAACUGACGUUGAGGCUCGAAAGCGUGGGGAGCAAACAGGAUUAGAUACCCUUGUAGUC